GGGCGGUUAGCUCAGUUGGGAGAGCGUCUGGUUUACACCCAGAAGGUCAGUGGUUCGAGCCCGCUACCGCCCA
rnacentral:tRNA from 1 species